rnacentral:rRNA from 1 species
CCUACGGGAGGCAGCAGUGGGGAAUAUUGCACAAUGGGGGAAACCCUGAUGCAGCGACGCCGCGUGAGUGAAGAAGUAUUUCUGUAUGUAAAGCCCUAUCAGCAGGGAAGAAAAUGACGGUACCUGAUUAAGAAGCCCCGGCUAACUACGUGCCAGCAGCCGCGGUAAUACGUAGGGGGCAAGCGUUAUCCGGAUUUACUGGGUGUAAAGGGAGCGUAGACGGCAGCACAAGUCUGGAGUGAAAUGCCGGGGCUUAACCCCGGAACUGCUUUGGAAACUGUGCAGCUAGAGGGCAGGAGAGGUAGGUGGAAGUCCUAGUGUAGCGGUGAAAUGCGUAGAUAGUAGGAGGAACACCAGUGGCGAAGGCGGCUUACUGGACUGUAACUGACGUUGAGGCUCGAAAGCGUGGGGAGCAAACAGGAUUAGAUACCCUGGUAGUC